rnacentral:lncRNA from 1 species
AUGUAGAUUUAUUUUUGAAAUCUUACAGUAGUCAUCGUUUUGUGCGCUUGGGAAAACUGGUGGUAAACCGGUGGAGGAAAGAUGCUCAGGACCAGAGGACAGAAUAAGCCCUUGACUGAAUGCUUCCCCACUGAGAAAACUGUCUACUCUCCUCCUCCCUCAUGAAGCCUCUCCAGACCAUACCUUCAAUCUCUCCUUCAAUGAAUCCAUCAACAAGUGUCUACUGUGUGACAGACACCAAGGACACAUUUAAUUCUCUGUGCCAGGCUGUAUGGGACAACUUAACAGUAAAAAAAUAAGGGAAAGCCUGGUUAAAGCUGACAAGCCCAGAUGUUUGACCCAUCUUGAAUGGAAGGAGAGAAGGAGCUAAAGGACUAUCCCUGUGCAACCAGGAAGCUCUUCUAUUGACAGCCCAGUCGGAUCUUAGAACAGAGUACUGAGAUCUCUGAAUUGGACAACUGAGACCUCAUAAAGCAUCAAGUCCAACCUGGUACCUGUUGGUAUCCUCAACAAGGGGUCAUCACAAUCCCCACUGAUUUUAAAUAGGAUCAUCUUUCAACUCUUGACCAAUUCAACUGCUAAAACGUUUUUCUUGGCAUUAAAAAUAAAAGCUGCAACUCCUACCCA